AGAGUUUGAUCCUGGCUCAGAUUGAACGCUGGCGGCAGGCUUAACACAUGCAAGUCGAGCGGAAACGAAGGUAGCUUGCUACCAGACGUCGAGCGGCGGACGGGUGAGUAAUGCUUAGGAAUCUACCGAGUAGUGGGGGAUAGCCAUUGGAAACGAUGAUUAAUACCGCAUAUAUCCUACGGGGGAAAGCAGGGGACCUUCGGGCCUUGCGCUAUUCGAUGAGCUUGAGUGAGAUUAGCUAGUUGGUGGGGUAAAGGCCUACCAAGGCGACGAUCUUUAGCUGGUCUGAGAGGAUGAUCAGCCACACUGGGACUGAGACACGGCCCAGACUCCUACGGGAGGCAGCAGUGGGGAAUAUUGCACAAUGGACGAAAGUCUGAUGCAGCCAUGCCGCGUGUGUGAAGAAGGCCUUCGGGUUGUAAAGCACUUUCAGCGAGGAGGAAAGGUCAGUAAGUAAUAUUUGCUGGCUGUGACGUUACUCGCAGAAGAAGCACCGGCUAAUUUAGUGCCAGCAGCCGCGGUAAUACUAAAGGUGCAAGCGUUAAUCGGAAUUACUGGGCGUAAAGCGCGCGUAGGUGGUUUGUUAAGUUGGAUGUGAAAGCCCAGGGCUCAACCUUGGAACUGCAUUCAAAACUGACUCACUAGAG
rnacentral:rRNA from 1 species